rnacentral:rRNA from 1 species
CCAGCUCCAAUAGCGUAUACUAAAGUUGUUGCAGUUAAAAAGCUCGUAGUUGGAUUUCUGGUAGUGGAGUCAGGUCCGCCCCUCACGGGGUGUGUACUGGGCGUCCAUCACCAUCAUCGAGGAGAACAUGCCUGGCAUUCAGUUGUUGGGUAUGGUGUCCUCGUCAUUUACUGUGAGCAAACUAGAGUGUUCAAAGCAGGCUUAUGCCGUUGAAUACAUUAGCAUGGAAUAAUAAGAUAUGACCUCGGUCUAUUUUGUUGGUUUGUAUUCCAAGGUAAUGAUUAAUAGGGACAGUUGGGGGUAUUCGUAUUCAAUUGUCAGAGGUGAAAUUCUUGGAUUUAUGGAAGACGAACUACUGCGAAAGCAUUUACCAAGGAUGUUUUCA